rnacentral:rRNA from 1 species
GAGUGGGAUAACUCCGGGAAACCGGGGCUAAUACCGGAUAACAUUUUGAACCGCAUGGUUCGAAAUUGAAAGGCGGCUUCGGCUGUCACUUAUGGAUGGACCCGCGUCGCAUUAGCUAGUUGGUGAGGUAACGGCUCACCAAGGCAACGAUGCGUAGCCGACCUGAGAGGGUGAUCGGCCACACUGGGACUGAGACACGGCCCAGACUCCUACGGGAGGCAGCAGUAGGGAAUCUUCCGCAAUGGACGAAAGUCUGACGGAGCAACGCCGCGUGAGUGAUGAAGGCUUUCGGGUCGUAAAACUCUGCUGUUAGGGAAGAACAAGUGCUAGUUGAAUAAGCUGCCACCUUGACGGUACCUAACCAGAAAGCCACGGCUAACUACGUGCCAGCAGCCGCGGUAAUACGUAGGUGGCAAGCGUUAUCCGGAAUUAUUGGGCGUAAAGCGCGCGCAGGUGGUUUCUUAAGUCUGAUGUGAAAGCCCACGGCUCAACCGUGGAGGGUCAUUG